rnacentral:rRNA from 1 species
GAUGAACGCUAGCGGCAGGCUUAAUACAUGCAAGUCAAGGGGCCAGCAAUGGCACCGGCGGACGGGUGAGUAACGCGUACACAACGUACCUUUAACUGGGGGAUAGCAUCUGGAAACGGGUGGUAAUACCGCAUGUGGUUGCGGGGAGGCAUCUCCUUGUAACUAAAACUUUGGUGGUUAGAGAUCGGUGUGCGUCUGAUUAGCUAGUUGGUAGGGUAGAGGCCUACCAAGGCGACGAUCAGUAGGGGGCGUGAGAGCGUGAACCCCCACACGGGUACUGAGACACGGACCCGACUCCUACGGGAGGCAGCAGUAAGGAAUAUUGGUCAAUGGAGGGAACUCUGAACCAGCCAUGCCGCGUGAAGGAAGAAGGCGCUACGCGUUGUAAACUUCUUUUGGGUGGGACGAAAAUAAUCCAUUUAUGGAUAGCUGACGGUACCAUCAGAAUAAGCACGGCUAACUCCGUGCCAGCAGCCGCGGUAAU